rnacentral:tRNA from 1 species
CAGGGGUUAGUUUAAUAAAAUUUUAAAUUUGGGUUUUAAAGAUAGGAUGUGUAUAUAUUCUUCCUCUGA